rnacentral:rRNA from 1 species
GACGAACGCUGGCGGCGUGCUUAACACAUGCAAGUCGAACGGAAAGGCCCUGCUUUUGUGGGGUGCUCGAGUGGCGAACGGGUGAGUAACACGUGAGUAACCUGCCCUUGACUUUGGGAUAACUUCAGGAAACUGGGGCUAAUACCGGAUAGGAGCUCCUGCUGCAUGGUGGGGGUUGGAAAGUUUCGGCGGUUGGGGAUGGACUCGCGGCUUAUCAGCUUGUUGGUGGGGUAGUGGCUUACCAAGGCUUUGACGGGUAGCCGGCCUGAGAGGGUGAACGGCGACAUUGGGACUGAGAGACGGCCCAGACUGCUACGGGAGGCAGCAGUGGGGAAUAUUGCACAAUGGGCGGAAGCCUGAUGCAGCAACGCCGCGUGCGGGAUGACGGCCUUCGGGUUGUAAACCGCUUUCGCCUGUGACGAAGCGUGAGUGACGGUAAUGGGUAAAGAAGCACCGGCUAACUACGUG